UACGUAGGGGGCAAGCGUUGUCCGGAAUCAUUGGGCGUAAAGGGUGCGUAGGCGGUGAGGUAAGUCGGAUGUGAAAUCCCAAGGCUUAACCUUGGAAGUGCAUCCGAAACUACCUCGCUUGAGGACUGGAAGGGAGACUGGAAUUCUCGGUGUAGCGGUGAAAUGCGUAGAUAUCGAGAGGAACACCUGUGGCGAAGGCGGGUCUCUGGACAGUUCCUGACGCUGAGGCACGAAAGCCAGGGGAGCAAACGGG
rnacentral:rRNA from 1 species